AUUGAACGCUGGCGGCAGGCUUAACACAUGCAAGUCGAACGAGUGGCGGACGGGUGAGUAAUGUCUGGGAAACUGCCUGAUGGAGGGGGAUAACUACUGGAAACGGUAGCUAAUACCGCAUACCAUCAGAUGUGCCCAGAUGGGAUUAGCUAGUAGGUGGGGUAAUGGCUCACCUAGGCGACGAUCCCUAGCUGGUCUGAGAGGAUGACCAGCCACACUGGAACUGAGACACGGCCCAGACUCCUACGGGAGGCAGCAGUGGGGAAUAUUGCACAAUGGGCGAAAGCCUGAUGCAGCCAUGCCGCGGGUGUGAAGAAGGCCUUCGGGUUGUAAAGCACUGUUAGCGAGGAGGCGUUACUCGCAGAAGAAGCAACGGCUAACUCCGUGCCAGCAGCCGCGGUAAUAC
rnacentral:rRNA from 1 species